AGAGUUUGAUCCUGGCUCAGAACGAACGCUGGCGGCGUGCUUAACACAUGCAGGUCGAACGAGAAAACUUCCUUCGGGAAGUAAGUAGAGUGGCGCACGGGUGAGUAACGCGUAGGUAAUCUACCCUUAUAACUGGGAUAACAUUGGGAAACUGGUGCUAAUACCGGAUACACUUCUUUACUGCGGGGUAAAGGAGGAAAGGUGGCCUCUUCAUGAAAGCUACCGUAUAGGGAUGAGCCUGCGUACCAUUAGCUAGUAGGCGGGGUAACGGCCCACCUAGGCAACGAUGGUUAGCGGGUCUGAGAGGAUGAUCCGCCACACUGGAACUGGAACACGGACCAGACUCCUACGGGAGGCAGCAGUGAGGAAUAUUGCGCAAUGGGGGAAACCCUGACGCAGCGACGCCGCGUGAGUGAGGAAGGUUUUCGGAUCGUAAAGCUCUGUCAGAAGGGAAGAAGUGUUAUAUGUUUAAUACGCAUAUAAUUUGACGGUACCUUCAGAGGAAGCACCGGCUAACUCCGUGCCAGCAGCCGCGGUAAUACGGAGGGUGCAAGCGUUGUUCGGAAUUACUGGGCGUAAAGGGCGCGUAGGCGGCUGGAUAAGUCAGAUGUGAAAGUCCAUGGCUCAACUGUGGAAGUGCAUUUGAAACUGUCCGGCUUGAGUAUCGGAGGGGAGUGUGGAAUUCCCGGUGUAGAGGUGAAAUUCGUAGAGAUCGGGAGGAACACCGGUGGCGAAGGCGACACUCUGGACGAAUACUGACGCUGAGGCGCGAAAGCGUGGGGAGCAAACAGGAUUAGAUACCCUGGUAGUCCACGCCGUAAACGAUGUGAACUAGGGAUAGGGGGUGUUGACCCCUCCUGUCCCGCAGCUAACGCAUUAAGUUCACCGCCUGGGGAGUACGGUCGCAAGAUUAAACUCAAGGAAUUGACGGGGGCCGCACAGCGGUGGA
rnacentral:rRNA from 1 species